GGGGAGAGAUGGGACGCACUGUGGCGCCAAAUUAAGAGCAUCAUAAAUCACACGCGACUUCUGCUCAUUCCCGGUUGACUUUUCUUCCAUGGGAGUUUCAAGUGAAAGCACACACAGGGGACAUUAUGGAGAUGUAUAUUGAUAAGCUAUAAGAGGCGAGGAGUUUAUAGAUUUCAAGACAAGCCGGAGUUAUUUUUAGAAUUUUAAGGCCAUCAAAAGGAACAUAGGAAAACACUGAGAAGUGGUGAGUGUGUUUCACGUGGCGAGUUUCAAGGUGUUAUACAUUUGGAAGGGAACAGUUAUGGCUGGAAGACAGUCCACUGGAGAGAGCGGAUAUUUGAAACACGGCGUUAUUUCCGACAUUGUGAUCAGGGCAGGAGAUCAAAUGUAUCAAGCCUGUCUGUUCAUUCCCCUGGACAAGUUGAUGAAUCAGUUUGUAAUUACUGUCACAUGUCCUUCAGACUUUCUGUAAUGUCUUAUGUUUAGGUGGAGGAAUGAAAUGAAGGAGAGAGAAGCUCCUUGUUUAAUAGGAACUCUUGUAACUGUUUAGUUGACUUUGAAGUUACAGGAUGUCAAAUGCUAAAAAAAAAUAAUGUUCCAUUUUUUCCCCUAGA
rnacentral:sRNA from 1 species